rnacentral:rRNA from 1 species
GGGCCCGCACAAGCGGUGGAGCAUGUGGUUUAAUUCGAUGAUACGCGAGGAACCUUACCAGGGCUUAAAUGUAAGUUGCAUGGAUCAGAGAUGGUCCUUUCUUCGGACUACUUACAAGGUGCUGCAUGGUUGUCGUCAGCUCGUGCCGUGAGGUGUCAGGUUAAGUCCUAUAACGAGCGCAACCCCUAUCGUUAGUUGCCAACAGGUUAAGCUGGGAACUCUAACGAGACUGCCGGUGCAAACCGCGAGGAAGGUGGGGAUGACGUCAAAUCAUCACGGCCCUUACGUCCUGGGCCACACACGUGCUACAAUGGCCGGUACAGAGAGCAGCCACUCCGCGAGGAGGAGCGAAUCUAUAAAACCGGUCUCAGUUCGGAUCGCAGUCUGCAACUCGACUGCGUGAAGCUGGAAUCGCUAGUAAUCGG